GAAAAGGAGGAGGAGGUAGAGGAGAAGUGAAAGGUACCAGACACAGGGAGUUUAUCUUAGCCCAGGGAGGCAGUGAUACCGGAGGGGAUACCAGAGGAGAGUGAUUUCAGAGGGAGUGAUACCAGAGGAGAGUGAUACCAGAGGGGAGUGAUAUUGGAGGGGAGCGAUACCAGAGGAGAGUGAUACCAGAGGGGAGUGAUACCAGAGGGGAGUGAUACCAGAGGGGAGUGAUACCAGAGUGGAGUUAUACCAAAGGGGAGUGAUACCAGAGGGGAGUGAUACCAGAGGAGAGUGAUACCAGAGGAGAGUGAUACCAGAGUGGAGUGAUACCAGAAGAGAGUGAUACCAGAGGAGAGUGAUACCAGAGUGGAGUGAUACCAGAGAGGAGUGAUACCAAUGGGAAGUGAUACCAGAGGGGAGUGAUACCAGAGGAGAGUGAUACCAGAGGAGAGUGAUACCAGAGGAGAGUGAUACCAGAGGAGAGUGAUACCAGAGUGGAGUGAUACCAGAGAGGAGUGAUACCAAUGGGGAGUGAUACCAGAGGAGAGUGAUACCAGAGGGAAGUGAUACCAGAGGGGAGACCCAGAGCUGAGGGAUCAGCUGACCUGACCGGGCUGGUCAGGUCAAACGAGAAGCUUUUCAUUACUACACACACAGACAGAGUGCAUGCGUUACGUGGCGUUACGAGUCUCCUUGGAUGAGCACGUUGCUGAGACACAGCGCUGAGAGACAGAGGAUGCAGCUGGGAGCAUGAGUCCUGACGGAGAGGAGUAUGACAUGUUCUGUCAGAAAGCUGUGACCCUGAUUGUUGACCUCUGCCUCCAGAACAAGCAGCUAUUGGACCAGGACACUUGCCAGGACUUCCUGUUUCUGCUGUCCAACCAAAACUCGGACCACAAGGAACCAGAGUCUGAUCCCAUCAACAUCUGCAGUGGCAUCAACAUCAAGCUCAGCACCAGGAAGUAGGACUCAUCCUGCUGCUGAUGACCUGGACACCAACUAUAGUAGUACAGAUCCUGUAGACCCAUUGGAUUAAUGUUUUCAGACGAGAACAAGCUCAUCAUCAUCUGACUGGGAAGAGGAAUAGACUGCACAGCGCUGGCAAGAGCCAAAGUGUAUAGUCUAUGUCCAAGGUCAUGGAGCUCAUGAAGUUCUGCCAGACCAGUUGCCGUUGCCCAACACAAGACGAGGUUGACACCAGCUUUAGUAGUUCAGAUACUGUAGACUUAUUCAGGACCCUGCCUGGAACAUUCAGCCAGCACAACAUCCAUAUUCAGUUGUUGUAGUAUAAUAUAGAAUGGCUACUAUGCUCACAGCUGCAUUGUAGUAUAGAUGUUGCUAGCUCUUGUACAUAUGUUUUUAAUUAAGUUUAUAUCAAAUGUUUUAUAUAAUAUGUUUUACAUGAGUACUGACAAGUGACUAAAUGAUUGCAGCUGCAUCAGAAAACAAUAAAGUAUUGACUUCAACUUCUGGAUCAAUUGUGAUAUUCAUUUAAUGUAUUUGGAAGUAACUAGCUACAAUCUUACUGCUAAAACAAAUGACGCAGGGAGUUGGUGCGUCAUUUUGACUUUAAUUUGUUGGCAAGUAAACAUGCUUCAAAAUAACAGUUGAUUGGUCUGUCAAUGUCGCAAAUAAGUAGACAUGGCUUUUAUUCAAGGCAACAUUUAUUUGCUCUGGAGACAGAGGUGAGUUUACACAGCAGUAUGCAGGAAAGGUUAUGGCAAUGUAUGACAUAUAUAUACAGUAGAACAAAAUAUACUACUCACGUCUAUAAUAAAUACUACAGCUCUUCAAAAGGAAUACAUGCAUAUGGUGUGUUUUUGGGGUGCAGUGAGGUGUUCAGAGUCCCUUUGAUACAACAGGGUAUUGUUAUUAUGGACCUUUUACAUCUCCUCUUGAAUUGCUCAAAUGUGACCGACUGCCUUGAUCAUGUAGCAACAUUUGAAAUUGUGUUUUUUACAUUGGAUAAAAGCAGAGACACAGAGUUAAAAUGUUUUAUAUCAUACAAUGCAUUUGAGGAACAAUGGGAAAGUAAUUCUGCUCCCGGGUGGCGGAGUGGUCUAAGGCAUCGCAUCUCAGUGCUAAAGGUGUCACUACAGACCCUGGUUUGAUUCCAUGCUGUAUCAC